GACGAACGCUGGCGGCGUGCUUAACACAUGCAAGUCGAACGGUGAACCUCUUCGGAGGGGAUCAGUGGCGAACGGGUGAGUAACACGUGGGCAACCUGCCCCCGGCUCUGGGAUAACUCCAAGAAAUUGGGGCUAAUACCGGAUGUUCACCGCUUCCCGCAUGGGUGGUGGUGGAAAGGGUUUCCGGCUGGGGAUGGGCCCGCGGCCUAUCAGCUUGUUGGUGGGGUAGUGGCCUACCAAGGCGACGACGGGUAGCCGGCCUGAGAGGGUGCCCGGCCACACUGGGACUGAGACACGGCCCAGACUCCUACGGGAGGCAGCAGUGGGGAAUAUUGCGCAAUGGGCGGAAGCCUGACGCAGCGACGCCGCGUGGGGGAUGACGGCCUUCGGGUUGUAAACCUCUUUCAGCAGGGACGAAGCGCAAGUGACGGUACCUGCAGAAGAAGCACCGGCCAACUACGUG
rnacentral:rRNA from 1 species